UCCUUGUUGAGAACAACGAUAAUGAGGGUUUUGUUGGGCAUCGAAGCUUUGUGCAAGGCCAAUUCCAGUUCAUCUAUGGGGAAUUUCAUUACAUGAGAUUGUGAUGAAUGAGCGGCACCAUGGCAGGAGUUAUGGUGAUAAGCGAGGAGCAGAGGAUUAUUUGAUGAAGAGGAAGACCACACGAAGAGAUAGAGAAGGCCAGCGAAGAGGAGGGAGAAGAGUGCAAGAUUUGGGAGAGAGUUCUUGAGGGAAUCCAAGUGCAUGGUGGGAUUUUUGGGACUGUGUUUUUAGGAUCAGGAAUUAUAAAAAUGAGUUUUGGACUUUGGACUUUUUUGGUCUAAUUUUAUGGCGGGGGAUUGAGAGAGAGAGAUGGGGGAGAAAGUCUGGAGGGUUAGGUUGGGAGAUUGGUUGUGC
rnacentral:misc_RNA from 1 species